GGGGUCGUUACGGAUUCGACAGGCAUUAUGAGGUACAUUCUGCGACUCAUCGGCAGAUGUAAAAAUGCCAGUUAAAUAUAACUGCAAAAAAUACAAAUUCUUACGCUGUAGCUGCCUAAAAACCAGCUCGCGUGAUCUCUACAGGAUUGCUUGUGUUUUGCUAGAGGUUUCAUUGAUUAACAAGCUACAUUUGACUAUUGCCUAGCUAGUCAAAAAGAGAUUUAUAGGCUCGCUUAAUCUAGGUUUGAGUUAUGUAUCGAGCUUGAGUUAAAAUAAAGACAUAACCUAUGGUUGUAGACGAAUGUAUUGGCAGGUGUUUGGACGUGGGUUCGACUCCCACCGGCUCCAU
rnacentral:tmRNA from 1 species